rnacentral:tRNA from 1 species
GGUCCCGUAGUGGAGCGGUUUAACACGCCUGCCUGUCACGCAGGAGAUCGCGGUUUCGAUUCCCGUCGGGACCGCCA